UGAAAAGUCUUUCCCAGUCAUUAACAAGCUCUCUGCUGUCGGCGGUGACCAUUUCCUUUUCCAUGUCAUAACAACAAUUCCCUGAAGGAAGUUCAGGGGGAUGAUGGAUUCACCAAUGAAGCAGCCAUAUUGGGAGGAAAUUUGAUCACAUGACAUCAUUCUAACACCAUUCUGACAUGUCAAGCUUAUGUCAGGCACAGGCAGACACAUCCCAUCACUGGUAAUGAAUCCUGAAAUUGGGAAAAAAACAAAGGUUAUUCCUUAUCCGUAUGAGCAAUAAACACCGGCUCUAUUUA